AGUGAACGCUGGCGGUAGGCCUAACACAUGCAAGUCGAACGGCAGCACAGUAAGAGCUUGCUCUUACGGGUGGCGAGUGGCGGACGGGUGAGGAAUACAUCGGAAUCUACUUUUUCGUGGGGGAUAACGUAGGGAAACUUACGCUAAUACCGCAUACGACCUACGGGUGAAAGCAGUGGAUCUUCGGACCUUGCGCGAUUGAAUGAGCCGAUGUCGCAUUAGCUAGUUGGCGGGGUAAAGGCCCACCAAGGCGACGAUCCGUAGCUGGUCUGAGAGGAUGAUCGGCCACACUGGAACUGAGACACGGUCCAGACUCCUACGGGAGGCAGCAGUGGGGAAUAUUGGACAAUGGGCGCAAGCCUGACCCAGCCAUACCGCGUGGGUGAAGAAGGCCUUCGGGUUGUAAAGCCCUUUUGUUGGGAAAGAAAAGCAGCAGGUUAAUACCCCGCUGUUCUGACGGUACCCAAAGAAUAAGCACCGGCUAACUACGUG
rnacentral:rRNA from 1 species